rnacentral:lncRNA from 1 species
AACAACAGAGCCGCCACCGUGCGUUAUUUAUCCCAAAAGCGGGAAAGGGAACACUCGAAGUAAACCUGGAAAAGACAUGGUCUCGUGACCAAAGAGAGAUGCGAAGGGAAGGUAUUAGCACCCCUACGCAUCCGUCGUACUCGACGGGAUCCAUGCACAAAAGAAAGGAUAAGUUUGCUAAACACUGCUCAAACAAACUGCACACACAGGCUGAAAGGAGACACAAAAAGAC